GUGCUUGCUUCAGCAGCAUAUAUACCAAAACUGGAACGGUACAGAGAAGGUUACAAGGAGUAACCUUCAGGAACAAUACAGAGAAGCCCCUGAGCAAGGAUGACAUGCAAAAGUAAAAAUACAUUAUU
rnacentral:snRNA from 1 species